ensembl:lncRNA
AAAAAAAAUUACUUACAGAAUUAAGUAACAUUUUCUUUUUAAAUGUGUGUAUACCUCUAAAUGCAAAUGAACUAUCUACACUGUCAAAUAGAAGCAUUUUAAGGAGAUGCAAAUGAAGAUGAAAAUCACCUACACAGUACAUUUAUUUGCAACCAUGUAUUUCAAAGAUGUUAAAACAACAGCAUCUAAAAGGGACCAUAAGAAUCAUAUAGUAAAAAAAUUUAACAUUUAAAUGUGAUUUAAUCUGAUGUGUAGUCAGUUGUGAAAGUAUACACACAAUUUUCACAGGCUUCACAUUUGCUGCUAUAAAACUAAAAGGGAUAACAUUAGAUUUUUUGUACAAAUCUAAACAACCUACUCCACCUUUUUCAAAGUAAAAAGGGAAUCAUAUAAAGUGGCUCAAAUAAAUAAAAAUUAGGAUGUAUCGGCCGGUAGACUUCAAACCCAAUAAAAACUUGGUGGAAGCACCUUAGGCAACCAUUACAGCUGUACAUCUUUCAAAAAUUUCCCAACUUUCCUGCACAUCUCUUAGGAGUUUUUUGGUGACAUAUGCAAUCAACAUAUCAGAUUAAGAAAAUAAAAAAUGAUUAAAUAAAAUGAGAAUGUUCUAACAUUCUUGAACUUUCAACAUGUGGAUUAAGUUGCGUAGAUAUAGGAAAAACCAAAAGUAACUAAGAUGUACGAAGUUACAGACCUACACGCAUGCAUACACUGACAAACCAUUUAUAUCAUGUAUUUAUACUAUAUAAACAUUUCCAAAUCCCUACCAAUUUAAUAAGGCCUUGUUCAAUUCUAUUUUUCCUUGUGGCACUCAAAAUAUGUUAUUUUGGAUAACAAUGAUAUUACAGGUGAAUAUGAUCCCUCAAAUGCUGUGUUUCACUGGCACCCAGUGGCCAUUCUGUUAGCCAACACCAGUGAGAUAGAUCCUAAUAGCAGAGCAAAGCAGAAAUAGAAAAAUUACAGUUUUUCAUCAGAAACGCUAAAUAGAAAAAUUAUUUAAAAAAAACGGAAAAUCACAUUACGCAACGCAUUAAACAUAACCUCACAGAAAAUGUUAAAUGGCUGGGGGAAAACAGAUUCGUACACACAUCUGACUAAUCUCCACUUACAACGUGAUUAUUUUGCGAGUCAUGCAAGAAGAAUGGUCUAUUUUUUGUCAUUUUUCUUUAUCUCACAAUGAACUGAAAAACACAGUACAUUACAAUACCACAAAAGGUAAGUGUGAAAGGCCAUUCCAUUGAACACUUUCCAUUCUUGUCUGAAGGCAACAGCUUGCAUAACACAAGACAGUUUGUGUCUAGGAAUGCAACAGGUUAUUGAAGAGAGUGUAUGCUCCAAUUCUAAUACUUUAUAUUUACCGAUAUUCUGUACAUGCCCUCAGGUUUUUUUAAUCCAUCUGCAAUCGCUAGGAUUUCUUCAUUCUCUGAGUUUCAAUAGAGUACAGAUGGAAUCAAAUUAUCUGGCCUCAAUAUGGUUCUGUCAAUAGUGGGGAAGGGGUGAUUAUGUCAAGGAUGUAUGUCAAGGGACAAGAAAGAAAAACUUGAAAAAAAGUAUAUAAUAAUAAAAAUGGGUUUAAUACAUCUCUGCAUGCAUAUCAUCUAAAGCUGUAGUGGUUUCUCUAAUCUCUUUAUAGACCGAACAGCUAAUCUCUUCAUUUACUGGAGUGGGUUCUAUAAAAAAAGCUGAAUUAACUUACACUUUAAAGACCAGAUCUGUGCAUUUGGACCUAUGCUGCUUCAAUAGCAUGGAGGGCAUGGCGAAACAGCAGUUAGGGCUGGGAGGAGUGUUGCUUGUUACAGUUUUGUGAACAUUAGCGUUACUGUGGUAAUUAACGUUAUGUAUAUUUCAGAGAUUUUUAUAUUUCAGAGAGUGUUCUUUCAGCCUGUGUUCCUCAGACAACCACUGUAUGAUUCCUAUGUUAUUUGGGAGGAAUACCCAGUUCUGUUAUGCAUGCACGCAAGAAAAGCAUAUACUUCAAAAUAUGAAAGGGAACUGCUAAUCUCAAAAAUGAGGUAUACAAAUCACUUUAGGCCACGUAACCUUUUCAGGAUUUUUUUUGCAUUCCACAGUGUGGGUGUUACAGUUGUCAUUUUAUAGUUGUACAUAUUUGUGAAUAUACAUUUUCAUAAAAAGGUCAUCAUAUUUGUAGUGGUACUGCUAAAUUUAGAACACUUGAAUAGCUAGUGUAACUUUUUAAUUUACUUUUUGUCUUUCCUGUGCUUUUAACAUACAAUCUUUAGUAUUAAAAGGUAUGGAAAAAACAUUCACUCUCAGGUUACU